CUGCACCACAAGUGGCAAUCGUUUUUAUUGAGCCUAAAGCGUCCGUAGCCGGACUAGUAAACCCUUGGGUAAAUUGGGCAGCUUAACUGUCCAAAUUCCGAGGGGACUGCUAGUCUUGGGACCGGGAGAGGUCAGAGGUACUCAAGGGGUAGGGGCUAAAUCCUGUAAUCCUUUGGGGACCACCAGUGGCGAAGGCGUCUGACUAGAACGGAUCCGACGGUAAGGGACAAAACCCUGGGGCGCGAACCGGAUUAGAUACCCGAGUAGUCC
rnacentral:rRNA from 1 species